AAUUUAAUUUAAAAGCGUUAACGCGAUGGGGAUCUGCUUGUCUUUCGACUGCGGGGACUGUGAUGUAUGCUGCAAUCCGUGCUGCUUGGCUCUGAGUGCCUGUUGUCUUAUUCCCUGUCUGUGUCCAAACGCCUGUGGUCAACAACAGCAGCCGCCUCAAACAGUCCACGUACAUCAUCCGCCUGUAAUUGUCGAACAAGCGCCUCCACCACAAGGAUAUUACCCCCCACCACCGCCCGACGGAGGAUACCCUGGGUACCCGCCGCAUCACGGAUAUCCUCCUCCACCAGACGGAGGAUACCCUGGAUACCCGCCACACCAAGGAUACCCGCAAUACCCACAACCUGGUUACGGAGGUUACCCCCAACCUAGAUGAAAACUUACCUUUAUAAAUAAGAAUGGGUUGCAACAUAUCAUGCCGGCCGUGUUGCUGCUGCUGUAUUCCUUGUAUCUGCUGUGACUGCUGCGGCGAUCCUCCACAAAGAGUAGUUCAUCAUCAUCACGUCAGCUCGCCACCUGCUACCAUAAUAGUUAAUCAACCGCCACCGCCUUACACUGCAAGAAGAUAGCGAAAGAAAAUAAACAAUAAGUAAAGGUGACAAGUUUGGUUUACACCAUCAGUAUACUGUACAAUUUUAAAGUACUAAUUUCUUUUUAUUCUGAACUUGAGGCAUGAUUUAUUCAAAGAUGUAAACAUUCCUAGCUUACGACCUCUAUCCUUUAGUGGACGUAAAUAGUAGAAAAUUCCUAAUUUGUUAACAUGAUACGAAACGUCUUCCGCAUAUUCUUACAAAUUAAUAAUACUACUUCAUGAC